ACGCCCCGCCCGGCGACGCCUUCCCGGGUGCCUUAAAGGGGCAGCGCCCCGGGAACCGGGAAGGGGCACGGUUACCGGAGGGGGAUGGGAGCGAUGGCGGCAGCGGCUCCCAGGGCCACAGCCCUUCAGGGACUGUUAACCCUGUGUCUCUGCUCUGAGGGACCAAGGCCUCGAGAAGCUCCUGUGAUGCUUUCACCCGACACGGACACCCUCCAACGCACACGGUGUUUCGUCACUGAGACACCCAGCGCUGCAGCUGGGAACCAAGUGCUCUGUGGUGACGGCGCCCCAGAAAUCCCAAGGCCCAAGGCAACCGCAUCCAGGCAACUUCAGGCUGAAUUACCAGGAGACAACACAGAGCCACGGGGUGCCCACGCACAUGCAGGCUGUCAUGGCCCAUCUCUCCUCACGCCCAGAGGUUGCUGCUGGAACGUCGCUGCUGCUGAUUGA
rnacentral:lncRNA from 1 species